rnacentral:tRNA from 1 species
GGCACUGUGGCUUAGUUGGUUAAAGCGCCUGUCUAGUAAACAGGAGAUCCUGGGUUCGAAUCCCAGCAGAGCCU